UACGGAGGGUGCAAGCAUUAAUCGGAUUUAUUGGGCGUAAAGGGCGCGUAGGCUGGAUGAAAAGUCAGAUGUGAAAUCCCGGGGCUCAACCUCGGAACAGCAUUUGAAACUCUCAUCCUAGAGGGUAGGCGGAGAAAACGGAAUUCCACAAGUAGCGGUGAAAUGCGUAGAUAUGUGGAAGAACACCGGUGGCGAAGGCGGUUUUCUAGCUUAUUCCUGACGCUGAGGCGCGAAAGUAAGGGGAUCAAAC
rnacentral:rRNA from 1 species